rnacentral:hammerhead_ribozyme from 1 species
AUCGGGCUGACGAGUCCUAAAUAGGGCGAAACGCGCGUCCUGGAU